rnacentral:ncRNA from 1 species
CCGAUAGCAAGCUGGCUGAUGCCCAAUCAGGUUAUGAAAAGGCCCUUUCGGUCACUCUAGCAGCACAGGCUGGAGCCAAUUUAAU